rnacentral:rRNA from 1 species
UACGGGGGGGGCAAGCGUUGUUCGGAAUUACUGGGCGUAAAGGGCGCGUAGGCGGCCUUCUAAGUCGAACGUGAAAUCCCUGGGCUCAACCCAGGAACUGCGUCCGAUACUGGGAGGCUUGAAUCCGGGAGAGGGAUGUGGAAUUCCUGGUGUAGCAGUGAAAUGCGUAGAUAUCAGGAGGAACGCCGAUGGCGAAGGCAGGUCUCUGGGCUGACACUGACGCUCAUGCACGAAAGCGUGGGGAGCAAACAGG